rfam:Fusarium fujikuroi IMI 58289 draft genome, chromosome FFTJ_chr01
GGUCGUGUGGUGUAGUGGUAUUAUCAUGUUUCCUUUACAAUGUUACAUAUAACAAGUUAUCGGAAAAGGUCGCAGGUUCGAACCCUGCCACGAUCA